AAGCCGUAUAUAAGCAUUUAAAGCAUAUUUACGCUGUAUCUCGCUUAUUUAAGUUGUAUUGAACAUUUAAUUUGAAGGUAACAUACUAUUUAUACUGUAACAGAAUAUUUAAAAGUUUUCCCUGACUGUAUAAGAAGUCAUUAAUUCGCAAAAGGAAGUCAAUGUAGUUAUUACUAUAUAUUUGAAAUUUGAUGGUUGGGCGUUGGUUAUCGUUUUGUUUUAUUUUUUACAUAGGUGGGGGGAUUGUGUAAAGGCUAGCUGUAAUAUCAAGUUUUAAUUUUUCACCAGACAAUAUCCGUAAAAGACGAAAGGCCGGCCAACCGUAAUAAGUUUACAAGAGAAAAUGAGCACGAAAAGACCACUAUCUCAAUAUGGAACAAAUCGUGUAGCAAAACCAAAACCCUGAGGACAGGGCUUAAAGGUUACCUCCCGAAGAAAAAUAAAUAUGCUUAAAUCAACUCGAAAUACAUUACUAUAAAACAAUCCAGCAAUAGUUUUUUAAAAUUUGUACACAUACUUGAGUAUAGCUAUGACUAUUUAUUCAGUCUCCCAGAGCUUCGAUCGUCUUCACGCCGCCAUUACAGAAAACAUAAUUUCACACUGAAAACGGCCGUGAUGUAAUGAGUAUGCAGCGCAUGCUGGCCGGACAAGUGCAUCUACGCUAAACCACACAAAGUACGGAUUUUUGAAUUUACUUUCGACUACGAGGGGAAUAUGUUUUCCCAGAAAUACAUAGAUUCUGGUCUGAGCAUCAACAAGCACUACUUUGUUCUGCAUCUGAGAAGCAUUUACAGCUGGCAAUUGAUGGACAGUGUGACAGUCCCGGUCAUAGUGCUACAUAUUGUACAGCUUCGGCCGUGGAUACUAUUACAGAAAAAAUAUUGGAUUUCAACGUGGUUGAUGUGAAAGAAGUUAAAAAUUCGCAAGGUCAGCUUCCACCAUAUAUACACUUCAUACAGUAAUAGCUAUGUUAAUUUAGCUAUUCUUAUUCAAAAUUUACUAGGAAUGGAGAAAGAGGGGUUUAUUCGUUGUCUGCAUAACCUACAUAACAACUUUGAUGCUAACAUAGCAAUCGUGUCAACAGAUCGUCACAAUCAAAUUCGUGCGCUGAUGAGAACUGAUGACAAAUACAAAAACAUUAAACACCAGUACGACCCGUGGCAUAUUGCAAAAGGAAUCUAUGAAAAGUUGCAUAAGCUUUCGAAGAAAAAAGGUACCCCACAGAAUUUCCUUACCUACUUUUGAUACGAACUGUUUUAGUUCCUUUCCUCUUCUUUUCAGGAUUUGAGUUACUGGGUUUGUGGGCACGUGCCAUUGUGAAUCAUUUAUACUGGAGCGUAACUACCUGCAAUUAAAAUGGUGAUGAGCUAGUGGAACGAUUUCUAUCUGUAAUUCAUCAUGCGUGUAACAAGCACACAUUCCCAGGGAAGUUCUAUACCAAAUGUGCACAUGAUAGAUACACGACGGAAGAGGCCAAAAAUGUGCAGUGGAUUAAGCCUGACAGCCCUGCACAUGAAGCAUUAUUGAAAAUAUUGAAACAGCCACAGUUGGUGAAAGAUAUGGCCCAAAUGAGUGAGAAUAUAUAUGUCUGGGGUGGAGGUGUUCCACGCAUUGAAAAUACGGUACCUUCCCAGAAGUAUAUUUUUUGAGAAGGAAAAAAUGUUGGCCUCAACUGCCUUAGCUGGUCUUGAUCACAACUUCAACGUUGAUAGAGCACAGGCUAGUUACAAGAAGAAAAAUUCGGAGGGAAAAUACAUUCCACGCUUUAGAGUCCAAUAUACGAAGCACACAAAUCGAUUCACAGCUAAAAAAGUUAAAGUCGCAAAAAACUACACUUUCAUGCGAGACAUUACAAGAUCUGUUUACUUUAGAGCUGUUGAUAGCGAUAAAGCAUUGAAAGAAGAGCGACUAUUGAGAAAACGAUGUUUGCUUUUAUCACCCAUAGAACGACCUCGUCGAGAGGAAACUAUUACAAACUCCAAUAAAUAUAGUCGUAUGAAAAAAAAAAAACGUAAAAAAAGUGUAAAUAUUUUUUAAUCUAAUAUAUAAUCUCUGAAAGCUCAGAUCAAAUUGACCUCGUUAAUAGCGUCUGGGCCUCCUUCUACAUCUUUGUAGCCCACGUAAAUACCAUCUGGUGCAGGAUAUUCUCUACGAAUUCUAUUCACCACACAAGAUGGGAUCACUCUCCUGAUACGUCUACCAAUUCUAUUGUGGACCCACCAAGUGAACUGACGGUAACUUGCGUACCUAUAAGUCCUGUACGUAAUAUAUAAACAGAAUAAAUAGUGUACAAACGUUAUUACUACAUGUAUAUAUUUCGUGUGUGUAUAAAGAAGCAUAAUAUAGUGAUGAAAAACAAAGAAAAUUAUUCAGAAAAAUUUUCACCUAGGUGGAACAUUAUUUCUGUUGGGUAGAUGACAAGCCUCUCGAUCAUGCAUCCCAACUAAUGCGGUCCAAAGAGCAUUCUUCAAAAUAACAAUGCUGACAAAGUGCGCAUGUUCAAUUAUGCACUUGAACGCAUCUUCUGAAAAAAAUAGAGAGGGUUACUUUCAAAUAGGCGACGAGAACAGAGGAAUGAUUGUAAGAGAAAAUAACAACAAGCUCCUAACUCAAAAACAGCUGCUGUCUCCAAUUCCCGGCAACAAAAACAUUCCUCUUCACUUGGCAUAUCUUCGCUGUUGCCACAUUUGCACCACGUGCCAACUGGCUGAAUUUUGCGACGUGGACUUUCGACAUCCUCGUCUGAUUCAUUUACACUUUCCCAGCUGGAAUCUGAGUCUGAAGUGGCUUUCGCGAAACAUCUUCUGGGUUCAAACUGAAAGCCAGCUAUUGCGUUUGUGUUCUCAGCCAUUUUCUUUAAGUAUUAUACUUUCAAAACAUUCGAUCAAAUAAAUUUACUGAAUAAUAAAGAAGUACGGGGGUUUUAAAUUUUGUUUGUUUGCGGCAUUGAAUAGAAGACUCGCUAUCAUUAUUCCGAACUGAAUAUUGUGCAUACUCGUUACGUCACACUACGACCACCGUGUGAUUUUAGUUUAGUAAUGGCGGCUGGAUGUAAACAAGCUACGAAGGUGAUAUUUUGAAUUUGAAUGAAACAUUUCUUCCUUAUGUUACAAAUUUUGUCAAAAAGAAAGUUAUAUUGUUUAUUAUAGUAUGUUUCUACGUCGAAAUACAUUAAGUUGUUUUUUUUCGGGAGGUAACCUUUAACUUGUUUAUUUACGAUAGCAAAAAAUAUGCUUUUUAACAUCACUGGGUCUAAGUUAUGGAAGUUUAUCCAUCACAUAAGCCAUUAUUUGAUUGAUUAUAAUUUUAUUUUUGGGUAACAUGUGUACAUUGGGCGGUUGAGGACAUGAAAUUUGUAACUUAAUAAAUUUAGGCAUUUCCACAUUUCUUUCCCAAUUUAUACGGAAAAAUGACUUAUAAAUAGGAUCAUAUUUCAGCAAAAACGUUUUAUGAGCAAUUCUUGCGGUCGGAAUGACGUCACUACCAUGGCAACGAUAACUAGCCAUGUUGGCUUGGGGUACAAUAUGGUAGCAAAAAAAGGGAAAGACAGCAUUGCUUCAAUAUUCUCAGCAGGAUGCCAAAGUGUUGUUGUGUUGAAAACUGUACAAAUAAUAAGAGGAAUAGGCCGGAUUUAAAUUAUUAUAUUAUUCCAAAAGAGGAAAAACGUCAAAGACUAUGGCUAAAUGCGAUAAGUCGUGCACAAGUUGAUGAAUCUGGAAAAGUUCUUGACAAAACAUGGUCACCCAAAUCAUGACAUAAUUUUGUUUGUUCUCAACAUUUUGCAACUGGUAAGGGAUACUCCACAACUGCGUACAUGUGCCUUUUGUUAGCCUGUUCUGUAUUUAAAACUGGAAUGUGUAGCUAGUAAAAAUAAUCCUUUUAGGAAAGAAAGAAAACUUCGAGAAACAUCCUGAUUAUGUUCCUUCUGUUUUCCCUGGGAGAACUAAAGACAACUCUUCAGAAAUGGGUAAAAUGGAUCGCGUCAAUAGAAGAAUUAACAGGACUCUGAGUAAAGAAUGUGAGUAGCUACACUUUUUUAUAUAAAAAAUACACAAAAUAUGGACAAGAGGCCUUGACUAUAAAAAUGUUUUCUUUUUAGUUCCAUCAUCAAGUACAUGUGUUGAAGAACCGACGGAAUUAACGUUGACUGAACAGACCGAUUCAAGUACCAAUUUAUCCAGCCCGUUGGUAGAGGAAGAAAGGACUGCAUUGUAUAUGGAGACGUUUAAUCUUCGUAAUGAGAGAGAUAUCUUGCGGGCUGAAUUAAAUCUUAAAACUACGGCAUUAUCCUAUGAAGGAUUAAGGAACAAUAAGGACAAGAGUAUUAAACUAACUGGCUUGGAGUUCAAUUGCGAUGUAGUUACUCCUAUUCUCUUUUUCCUGUUUCUUACACAGAUCCAGUUGACUGCCAGGAAAGACUGGUUGACACUGGGAAAGACUAGUGACUGUGGGAAAGACCACUGACGGUGGGAAAGACCAUAGAUCGUGAAGGCUUUUAGGUUUUGGUGACUAAAGAGUGUGUGUUCUUCAUUGGUUAGGAUGGGUCUUCAGUUGCAAUCUCGAGACGAUUGAUAACUCCUUCCAAAGAAUGGAGUGUGGCGGAUUUCGAAGCAUAAAAGUUGACUGGGUGGUGAAGUGAAUUACUUGUUUAAGCUCGAGACGAUAUGUAAUGGUUUUCUGGGUUGCCGCCGCUGGGUUCCAAGUCUACCUUUCUAAGGGGCGGUUUCUUGGUCAGCCCAAGCAUUACGAUACGAUUUCUCAAGUGUUCAUGUCUAAGGUCAGAAAGCUUUUCUGUUUCCAGGUUUGCUGCUUUUUAUUCUUUGUCACAACCUUUCUAAGGGCUGGGUUCCAAGUCUACCUCUCUUAGCCCUGGGCUCUGUGUCAGUAGGUAAAAGCAACAACGAUACGAUUUGCAGCUGUCGACUUUUCUUUUUCCAAAGUUUAACAAAAGUUAUUGGUUUUGGUGGACGGUGUCAAUGAAUGUGGCUGGUGUCUUGCAGGAGGCAGGGGAUGCUUACUCAAGGGUCCGCACCAGAUCCCAAGCAUGAGUGAAUUUCACCAAUCCUUGUGUUUCCACAUUCAUAGGUGUUUGUUUCAGUACAGUCGAAAUCCAUUAACUUUCCGAUUAUCCCUGUAAAGGGGAGAAUGCAGAAGUUCUACAGCAGCUUCUUAUUCUUUGGAGAGAAACCUCCUUUUUUAAUUAAACUUUCCGUCUUAAAAGACUAGUUUUAUC